GGCCAGCUGGGAGCGACUCUGGAUCCGAGCCGGCUUCUUUCGGUGGAAUGAGUGAGGCCGGUGGCUUUCGUCAGCUGCUGCCUGUGAUACGCGGCUGGAGUCUAGAAACGUGCUAGAUCCUUCACAAAGUAAAGACACGUCCAGACAAGCUCUCUGCCCCAGAAAGCGUCCAGCCUCCAUUCUGCACGACGCAGCAAAGGCAAGUCAGAAGGAUGAAAAGCGGGAAGGGGAGAGGACAGCCCAAGGUGACCGUGGUAAGAUCAGCACCUCAGCGUCUUCUGCCCAGCACCUUUCAUCUGGGGACCCCCAAAGCACGUUACAGACCUUCCUUGGGCCUGGCAGCAUGCCUGCAAUGAAGGGCAUUGUAAGAACUCUCCUUCUGUGGAUCAAAGUUUAGGCUCCUCUGAUUUGGGAGGCCCAAUCUGAGACCCCCUUUGGGCCAGAUUUUCAGAGGCGUUGAGCCCCUGCCGCUCCCAUCAGGCCGGAUCCUCAGUUGGCAUAAAUUGGUAUAGCCCCUUCCAUGGAGCAAACACUGCUUUACAUCAGCUGGGGAUCUGACCCCUUGACAGCAAUGGUUUUCCAGGCAGCUUCAGCAGCUCUUUAACCCCUUCAUGACUGCGGGGCUCUAUCUCAGCAGCAGUGCAUGUGGACGCAGGGCCGGCUCCAGACACCAGCAAAGAAAGCAGGUGCUUGGGGCGGCCAACGGAAAGGGGCGGCACGUCCGGGUCUUCGGCGGCGGGUCCCUCAGUCCCUCUGGGAGCGAAGGACCCGCCGCCGAAUUGCCGCCGAAGACUGAAGCAGCGCGGUAGAGCUGCCGCCGAAGUGCCGCCCAUCGUGGCUUUAUCUUUUUUUUAUUUUUAUUUUUUUCCCCGCUUCGCCGCUUGGGGCGGCAAAAAAGCUGGAGCCGGCCCUGGGUGGACAGUUCGUGCCCAAGGACGGAAUGCCGGGACGUGGCAAUGGUGGUAAUGAGCAAACAGCACUGCCGAAACAGCCCGGCUGUCGUGGGCGGAUUGGAUCAGUGGCGUCCCCAGAUGGAUCUGCCCAGCUCAACCCUCCCUUGGCUCCCUGGCAGGAUGGUGGGAAGUCGCUUGGAGCCCAAGGUGGUUUGUCCGGGGCCAUGCAGCAAAGCCAGCAACAGAGCCGCAGCCUCACCCUGGAAAGCGACAGUAACUCCACUGCCAUGGCACGAGUGGCAUCGGGAGGAGACGGUGCGAGACUCCGGCCAGGCCUGUAUGUCUCCAGGUCCCUAUGCUCCAGCUGUGCCCCGCUUACAUUCUGCACAGCGCCUCGCUUCAGAGAUGCACCCGGGACUCCUGCAGGAUGGCACUCCGGUGAGUUUGCUGCACGGAGCUGGAGAAAAGGAGAAGGAACGGGACUGGCUAAGGAGGGUUCUCAGUCUGCAGGCCAGGACUCGAUAGCCAGGACGCUUGUGGCAAAAGCUUUCCUUAUUGUUAUUUCAUAUUUAUACUGAAGGGCACUUAAAGGCCUCAAUCCGCUUCAUGAAGGGAAAUCACAAGAAUAUCCAUCCAUCAGUCUGGCUCUCCAUCCCCAGACAUUAUCUAUCUAUCUAUCUAUUCCCAGACACCCCCUCUAUCUAUCUAUCUAUCUAUCCCCAGACACCCCCUCUAUCUAUCUAUCUAUCUAUCUAUCUAUCUAUCUAUCUAUCCCCAGACACCCCCUCUAUCUAUCUAUCUAUCCCCAGAAACCUCCUCUAUCUAUCUAUCCCCAGACACCCCCUCUAUCUAUCUAUCUAUCUAUCUAUCUAUCCCCAGACACCCCCUCUAUCUAUCUAUCUAUCUAUCUAUCUAUCUAUCUAUCUAUCUAUCU
rnacentral:lncRNA from 1 species